GAUUAACGCUAGCGGCAGGCAUAAUACAUGCAAGUUGAACGGGAUAAGUUGUAGCAAUACGGCUUUGAGAGUAGCGCACGGGUGCGUAACACGUAUGCAAUCUGCCCCUCUCUGUGGAAUAGCCCCUCGAAAGAGGGAUUAAUACCACAUAACAUAAUGUAUAGGCAUCUAUAUAUUAUCAAAGCUCUGGCGGAUAGGGAUGAGCAUGCGGCUGAUUAGCUAGUUGGUGAGGUAAUGGCUCACCAAGGCGACGAACAGUAGGGGGUCUGAGAGGAUGUCCCCCCACACUGGUACUGAGACACGGACCAGACUCCUACGGGAGGCAGCAGUAGGGAAUAUUGGUCAAUGGGCGCAAGCCUGAACCAGCCAUGCCGCGUGCAGGAUGAAGGCCCUAUGGGUCGUAGACUGCUUUUGUACGGGAAGAAACCCCACUACGUGUAGUGGGCUGACGGUACCGUGAGAAUAAGGAUCGGCUAACUUCGUGCCAGCAGCCGCGGUAAGAC
rnacentral:rRNA from 1 species